AGUGAACGCUGGCGGUAGGCCUAACACAUGCAAGUCGAACGGCAGCACAGUAAGAGCUUGCUCUUACGGGUGGCGAGUGGCGGACGGGUGAGGAAUACAUCGGAAUCUACUUUUUCGUGGGGGAUAACGUAGGGAAACUUACGCUAAUACCGCAUACGACCUACGGGUGAAAGCAGGGGAUCUUCGGACCUUGCGCGAUUGAAUGAGCCGAUGUCGGAUUAGCUAGUUGGCGGGGUAAAGGCCCACCAAGGCGACGAUCCGUAGCUGGUCUGAGAGGAUGAUCAGCCACACUGGAACUGAGACACGGUCCAGACUCCUACGGGAGGCAGCAGUGGGGAAUAUUCGACAAAGGGCGCAAGCCUGAUCCAGCCAUACCGCGUGGGUGAAGAAGGCCUUCGGGUUGUAAAGCCCUUUUGUUGGGAAAGAAAAGCAGCAGGUUAAUACCCCGCUGUUCUGACGGUACCCAAAGAAUAAGCACCGGCUAACUUCGUG
rnacentral:rRNA from 1 species